rnacentral:lncRNA from 1 species
CCCCCCCCCCCCCCCCCCCCCCCCCCCCCCCCCCCCCCCCCCCCCCCCCCCCCCCCGGCCACGGCCGCACUCUCCCUCAGCGCCGCGCCGCCCUCACCAGUCCGCCACACCCGCCAUGAGCUCCUCGCUGCCCCUGAAGGGUGGGACAGGCACACGGGCUGAGGGGAAGCCAAGUCCCACAGGUCACCCAAUGCACCCGGGGAACCUCCAUGGCUCCAGGCAGCUCUCCAAUGGUGCCUUCAAGCCACAUCUACCCGCAGCACGCCCGAGCCAGAAGCCACUACAAGCAGAACCAGUCUUCCUGAGAGAAGCACAAGUGUAAAGAGCCACCAGCAUGAUGAGCUUCCCAAGGUGGCACCAAAAGCCCCUGCAAGCCUUGCUCAUAUUUCCCCUGCUCCCUAACAUCACUGCAGGAAAAAAUCCUAUCAAUGAGACGUGGGUAUGAGCUUGGAAAUCUGUAGAAUGGACCAAAUAAACAGCAGAUCUAAACUCCUGUUUCCCAAACUUCUAGCACUUGACCUUGGAACAUUUUAACAGUUAAAAAUGAAAUCUCAUUUGUCUUAAGAGGAAAAGACCUGCCAGCUUCUCUGCACCUCCUUUGGAACUGCUGAUCUGCAAGCAUUUCAAGAUCACAGAUAGGAUCUCUUGUCAAACUGGUGAAUAAUAUUCCCCCAAAGCUUUCAUCAUGCUCAUUUUCCUAAGGCAUUUACAGGGUAAGAUAGCAGAGAGCACAGUCACGACUGCUGUUUCAGACACAGAUACCAAGAAAGGCUUAGCACUAACGGGAAAUGCAGAUGCCCUGUGACACGUGUGGGAUGAUGGCAAUGAACCAGGACCUGGCCACAGGAUGCCAGUCUCCAGAUGUUCAGCCUGAGCCAAUGGGGAUGAUGGCAAUGAACCAGGACCUGGCCACAGCAUGCCAGUCUCCAGAUGUUCAGCCUGUGCCAAGCCAUUCACAGAAACAAGUGCUGAUGUAGGUAAAAUAAAGGCAUUUACUUCUAAAGCAGGAGAUGGAUCCAGUGCUGCUAAGAUAAAAGCAAGGCCGUGAACCCCAAGGGUAGCACAUCACUAGUUGCUACAGAAAGUACCACUUAGCUGAUGGAUAUUUAUUUUAACAGCGUGACUUAAUGAAAAGAUAUGUUUUAGAGAUCUUAAAAUUGUAUGUCAUAGAUCUCUCUCAGUAAUUUAAUAGAAAGAGAUAACUAUGUAUCCAUCUCAACAUUUAUUUAUCCUUAAGCGUCACUUCUUCCUGCUUUUCUCUGCAAGUACAGGGUAAAAUGUAGCAGCAGUCAAAAAUCAAUACCAUCUCCUGAGGAAACAGCACUGCUCCACGCUAGGUGCUACUGAAGUAGGUUAAGAAAGUGCCCACAGUUAUCUUCUACAGAAAGUCCAACUGAUACAAGCCUAAGCCUCCAUCAGAUCUCUGUGGAUGUACCAACAAAUGCCCUAGCCACUUCUGUGGGGCUCUGCAGAGAGACAUGAACUUCCAUACACAGCAGGAAAGUAAGAUCGUGGUUCCGUCUCUAAUAGAAAGAGAUAACUAUGUAUCCAUCUCAACAUUUAUUUAUCCUUAAACAUCACUUCUUCCUGCUUUUCUCUGCAAGUACAGGGUAAAAUGUAGCAGCAGUCAAAAAUCAAUACCAUCUCCUGAGGAAACAGCACUGCUCCACGCUAGGUGCUACUGAAGUAGGUUAAGAAAGUGCCCACAGUUAUCUUCUACAGAAAGUCCAACUGAUACAAGCCUAAGCCUCCAUCAGAUCUCUGUGGAUGUACCAACAAAUGCCCUAGCCACUUCUGUGGGGCUCUGCAGAGAGACAUGAACUUCCACACACAGCAGGAAAGUAAGAUCAUGGUUCCGUCUCUUGUGUGCUUUUUAAAUUAUUUUUUUCUUGUUCCCUGCCCUUUUUCUAUCCCCAUUACUGGUAAACAAAACACACUCUUUUGUGUAUAUAUGGUUCCACUCUUUUUUUCUUAUAUAUAUACACUCUUUGAUUUAUAAGUUAAGAAACAACACUACAAAUUAAAUGCAUUUACAUGUGAUCUGAAAAGUAAUAAAAAAAAAAUCUAUAGAAUAACUGAAUUUUAAGAAUCUAAAGCAUUGUGCAAGUAAGACUUAAGAAAAAAAAAUGGAAGAACUCAGGAACACAAAAUGGAUUUUAACUGCUGACACUGAUUAUAAGAAUAGACAUGCUUAUCUCCACAUGGCUUAUGUAAACAAAAAGACCUGGUUGGUGACUUGAUUAAACACCAGUUCAAAUUAUGCUUUCUAAAAACAAAGAAGCUUAAUACACCUUGGAUCCCAAACCUGACCAUAACUGCGUCACGACUGCAAAAGGAGUAAUCAGAAAUAAUUGAUAGGUUUAUUUAUUAGAUUUGAUUUGCUGGACCUGAGUUUUCAACAGUUCCUUGUUAUUUCUCUAUCGUGAGUUUGAAAGUUACCAGAAAAAUUACUAAAGAGGAGGAUUUUACCAGUAGCCUGGGGCAGUAUGUUCAGUGGCAGAAAAGCUGAUAAACUUGCCGUCUGGAGUAGGGAAGGAGGAGAAAUGGACCAAAAAAUUGAGAAAAGGAAGCUGUAGAUUAAAUAACAAGAUGCUAGAAAAUACAUGCUAAGAAAACAACAUCAAAUGCUAGUAAGAAACUUUCCGUUUUGACUUUGGCACUUCUUCCCUAUGCCUCUCUGUGUGCCCCACAGGGGUGAGCUCCCUUGGCAGCCUCUUUUCACGGCAUUAGAGGCUCAAACUUCAAGCAAACGAUAUGUAAUAAGAACUUGCAGCUAAUUAAUAGAUUUUAGCUAAUCCUUCAAAACAUAUCACUUCGGAUUUUAAGAACUGAUCGCUUGCGGGAGCCAAACCUGAUAUUAAAGGGUUGCAGGAUUCGGCACGUCACGGUCGGUGGGACCGAGUCCAUCUGGGGCAGCAGGGAUACACAAACCACAGCAGCAAAGCACAACCUUUACCCUCCUAUUCCCGGGGCUGGCAAGCCUCAUCUCUAAAUUUAGAGCUCAAACCUGCACCGAAGGUGCCUGGACCGGUAUGUGUCCGCUGAAGUACGGAACCCAAAGCAUUUCCAAAGCAGUUUCAGUACGCAG